rnacentral:rRNA from 1 species
GGGCCCGCACAAGCGGUGGAGUAUGUGGUUUAAUUCGAUGCAACGCGAAGAACCUUACCAGGGCUUAAAUGUAAGUUGCAUUAGUUAGAGAUAGCUAUUUCUUCGGACCACUUACAAGGUGCUGCAUGGUUGUCGUCAGCUCGUGCCGUGAGGUGUCAGGUUAAGUCCUAUAACGAGCGCAACCCCUGUUGUUAGUUGCCAGCGAGUCAUGUCGGGAACUCUAACAAGACUGCCGGUGCAAACCGUGAGGAAGGUGGGGAUGACGUCAAAUCAUCACGGCCCUUACGUCCUGGGCUACACACGUGCUACAAUGGUCGGUACAGAGAGCAGCCACUACGCGAGUAGGAGCGAAUCUUCAAAGCCGAUCACAGUUCGGAUUGUACUCUGUAACUCGAGUGCAUG